UGGGGAAUUUUGGACAAUGGGCGAAAGCCUGAUCCAGCAAUGCCGCGUGUGUGAAGAAGGCCUUCGGGUUGUAAAGCACUUUUGUCCGGAAAGAAAUCCUCUGGGUUAAUACCUCGGGGGGAUGACGGUACCGGAAGAAUAAGCACCGGCUAACUACGUGCCAGCAGCCGCGGUAAUACGUAGGGUGCAAGCGUUAAUCGGAAUUACUGGGCGUAAAGCGUGCGCAGGCGGUUUUGUAAGACGGAUGUGAAAUCCCCGGGCUUAACCUGGGAACUGCAUUCGUGACUGCAAGGCCAGAGUAUGGCAGAGGGGGGUAGAAUUCCACGUGUAGCAGUGAAAUGCGUAGAGAUGUGGAGGAAUACCGAUGGCGAAGGCAGCCCCCUGGGCCAAUACUGACGCUCAUGCACGAAAGCGUGGGGAGCAAACAGGAUUAGAUACCCUGGUAGUCCACGCCCUAAACGAUGUCAACUAGUUGUUGGGGAUUCAUUUCCUUAGUAACGUAGCUAACGCGUGAAGUUGACCGCCUGGGGAGUACGGUCGCAAAGAUUAAAACUCAAAGGAAUUGACGGGGUCAUAGCUGUUUCCU
rnacentral:rRNA from 1 species